rnacentral:rRNA from 1 species
ACGAACGCUGGCGGCAUGCCUAACACAUGCAAGUCGAACGAGACCUUCGGGUCUAGUGGCGCACGGGUGCGUAACGCGUGGGAACCUGCCCUUAGGUUCGGAAUAACUCCCCGAAAGGGGUGCUAAUACCGGAUAAUGUCUUCGGACCAAAGAUUUAUCGCCUUUGGAUGGGCCCGCGUUGGAUUAGCUAGUUGGUAGGGUAAAAGCCUACCAAGGCGACGAUCCAUAGCUGGUCUGAGAGGAUGAUCAGCCACACUGGGACUGAGACACGGCCCAGACUCCUACGGGAGGCAGCAGUGGGGAAUAUUGGACAAUGGGCGAAAGCCUGAUCCAGCAAUGCCGUGUGAGUGAUGAAGGCCUUAGGGUUGUAAAGCUCUUUUACCCGGGAUGAUAAUGACAGUACCGGGAGAAUAAGCUCCGGCUAACUCCGUG